CUGAAAUCCUGUGUGGUUUUUCACAGCGUCUUUACUGAGAUGAUUGUCUUCCUUCCUUCUGAGUCUAGUCCAGGCACAGUCAGUGAAAUGAAGGAUCUGUAGGCCAUUCACUCGAUCACUUGGAAGCAGAUUACACACACGAUCAGCUCUUCGUAUUAACCAAAAGGAAGUGUGGAGGCUGUCUGGAGAAGGGGCCUCACCAAGAAGGGAGGAAGUGGAUCUCCCAUAAGAAGUACCCAAAGAGGUCUGUCUACACAGCAGAUUCCCGCAGGAAGAGAUGGCCAUGCUGUGGAAGUGAGUUAUUAUCAUUCCUGUGCUUCUCUGGUGAACCCAGAUGGACCCGUGGAUGCUUUGGGUAGCCAAGGUUCUCACGUACUUUCUUAAUUACUGUAAUCAGCUCCUUGAAGUCAGCUCAUGGAGGCGCCUCACAGGAAAGAAUGGGCAGUGUUGCUAUUGCCAACUGCUUGGGAUGGGCAAACACCCAGGGCGAGGAGUGGUCAGUGCCUGCGUUUCACUCCCCUUUCCUCCUGGAGCAGCCCCACCAUCACCUCAGACAACUCACAUCACUGAAACGGAAAAUGUAAGCCAACCUACUUCUCUUUACCUUCAUGAAUGCUUUAAACACUCUUGGAAAAUCUGAGGGCUCCUCACGUGUUCUCAGAUACAUUCCUUUGCUCCUGAUGGAGGUGAAAAGAUAUGGUGGUCAGUAGAAGGGAUCUGGGCCAUGCCAGCAGACACUGUGGGACUGUGGAACCAUGUAACUGGAGACAAGCAGUGAACACCUUCUCCACAGGGAAACUCCAAUUGCCCUGAGCCUCGUCGAAGGCUGGCUCAGCAGCUUCCUUGCCUGUUAACCUAACGUUCCACAUGGGGCCCUCCUACAAUGGCGGUUGAAGCCUGGUAAUUAGAUUGUGAGCAUUGCUGUGAAGGAGGCACAUUGCCAGCAACCGGGUGGCAUUGACAAGGCUUGGUCCCACUAGGUACAAUGUGUGGGGGCUUAAAAAAAAAUCUCAGCUCUCUUUUUUUCUCUAACUCCUUUGAUGGAUCUCAAAAAAGUCCUGCACUCCUUCAUCCACCCCACCCCUCCACAAUCAAGGGCAAACACCGGAAGAAUGCAAUAAUCAUAAUCAUAGGGAUAGGAAAAUGAUACUCUUAACGAUCAGACAUUCAAGUGAGAUUUAAUGAACACAACUUUACUUCACGUACUUUUAAUACAUUUCACGUACCACACAGCAAUUUACUGGGACAUGGAUUUUAACACGCUAGGCUAAUGGCAAGAUAAGAAUUACUGAGUUGAAUGUGGGUUCACUAUGCGGGAACCCUUUUAUAGUGUUGACUCUGAGGAACAGGGCUAACACCCUGUUUAUGGACGCGUUGAGAGGAAUUGUGCUUUUACUAUGUGUGGUUGUUAUGUUUCAAGGGACAUGAUUUCACUGGUAGAUUUGCCAAAUUUUUGCAAUAACAUGAUUCUACUGUAUUUCUAUUUUAA
rnacentral:lncRNA from 1 species